AGUCGAGGGGCAGCAUUUUAGUUUGCUUGCAAACUGAAGAUGGCGACCGGCGCACGGGUGAGUAACACGUAUCCAACCUGCCGAUAACUCCGGGAUAGCCUUUCGAAAGAAAGAUUAAUACCGGAUGGCAUACGAAUAUCGCAUGAUAUUUUUAUUAAAGAAUUUCGGUUAUCGAUGGGGAUGCGUUCCAUUAGUUUGUUGGCGGGGUAACGGCCCACCAAGACUACGAUGGAUAGGGGUUCUGAGAGGAAGGUCCCCCACAUUGGAACUGAGACACGGUCCAAACUCCUACGGGAGGCAGCAGUGAGGAAUAUUGGUCAAUGGGCGAGAGCCUGAACCAGCCAAGUAGCGUGAAGGAUGAAGGCUCUAUGGGUCGUAAACUUCUUUUAUAUGGGAAUAAAGUUUUCCACGUGUGGAAUUUUGUAUGUACCAUAUGAAUAAGGAUCGGCUAACUCCGUGCCAGCAGCCGCGGUAAUACGGAGGAUCCGAGCGUUAUCCGGAUUUAUUGGGUUUAAAGGGAGCGUAGGUGGAUUGUUAAGUCAGUUGUGAAAGUUUGCGGCUCAACCGUAAAAUUGCAGUUGAAACUGGCAGUCUUGAGUACAGUAGAGGUGGGCGGAAUUCGUGGUGUAGCGGUGAAAUGCUUAGAUAUCACGAAGAACUCCGAUUGCGAAGGCAGCUCACUAGACUGU
rnacentral:rRNA from 1 species